AAGGGUGGCACUAAGCUCAGGAUGUGAGGGGGUAUCUGCCAUUAACACCAUCAUGAGUGUAAUGGGAAUCAAUUUGAAAACCUUACGGCCAGAGCCUUGUGUUGAGGGAUACUCAACUCCUGGGGGUUAUUCUUCCAAGGCAGUCCAUCCUAUUGCACUUGGAAAAGUGAUGGCCAUUGCCAAGAUGAUGAAGUCAGAAUUUAAUGAGCAGCAGUACUCACUUUCUGGUAUUGGAGGUGUUGAAACAGGUAGUGAUGCUGCUGAGUUUAUUCUUCUUGGAGCAAAUACAGUUCAGGUCUGCACUGGGGUUAUGAUGCAUGGAUAUGGUCUUGUGAAGAAACUUUGUGAUGAACUGAAGGAUUUUAUGAAAAUGCACAACUUCUUAUCCAUUGGAGAGUUCAGAGGGGCAUCUCUGGAGUAUUUUACGACUCACAUGGAUUUGGUGCGACGGCAGCAAGAAGCAAUUCAACUGAGAAAAGCUGUCAAAAAAGGUUUGCAGUCUGAUAAAGAUUGGACAGGAGAUGGUUUUGUGAACGAGUCUGAAAGCAUGGUUUCUAACUAAAUUGCCCAAGUACAGUAAGCAUUAUCUCUUGUAUGAUUAAAAUAAGUUGGGAUAUUUUACUUAAUUUUCUGUUGAUAGUUCAUCUUGAGCUUGUUCUUACUUUGAAUUGUAUCGAAUUUGGGAACAGCAAUAACUUUUCUGAUGCUUGUCCUUUUAGUUGAUGUAAAGCAAAAAUCUUUCUGCCACAUUAAAAUGGAACACAUUCUCUCUUUUUUUU
rnacentral:misc_RNA from 1 species